rnacentral:rRNA from 1 species
GACGAACGCUGGCGGCGUGCCUAAUACAUGCAAGUAGAACGCUGAAGGAGGAGCUUGCUUCUCUGGAUGAGUUGCGAACGGGUGAGUAACGCGUAGGUAACCUGCCUGGUAGCGGGGGAUAACUAUGGGAAACGAUAGCUAAUACCGCAUAAUAGCAGUUGUUGCAUGACAACUGUUUGAAAGGUGCAAGUGGACCACUACCAGAUGGUCCUGCGUUGUAUUAGCUAGUUGGUGGGGUAACGGCUCACCAAGGCGACGAUACAUAGCCGACCUGAGAGGGUGAUCGGCCACACUGGGACUGAGACACGGCCCAGACUCCUACGGGAGGCAGCAGUAGGGCAUCUUCGGCAAUCGACGGAAGUCUGACCGAGCAACGCCGCGUGAGUGUAGAAGGUUUUCGGAUCGUAAAGCUCUGUUGUAAGAGAAGAACGAGUGUGAGAGUGGAAAGUUCACACUGUGACGGUAUCUUACCAGAAAGGGACGGCUAACUACGUG